UACGUAGGCAGCGAGCGUUGUCCGGAUUUAUUGGGUUUAAAGGGUGCGUAGGCGGCGGAUUAAGUCAGCGGUGAAAUUCCACAGCUCAACUGUGGAACUGCCAUUGAUACUGGUUUGCUUGAGUACAGAUGAGGUAGGCGGAAUUGACAGUGUAGCGGUGAAAUGCUUAGAUAUUGUCAAGAACACCUAUUGCGAAGGCAGCUUACUAAGCUGUAACUGACGCUGAGGCACGAAAGCGUGGGGAUCAAACAGG
rnacentral:rRNA from 1 species